rnacentral:lncRNA from 1 species
GCACCAUCAAAAAAAUCUUGCCAAAUACAUGAAUCACCAUCUCAUCCAUCAGGUACAGUAGAUGGUACUCACUAUCUAUAUUUGUAGCUGCUUCCAGAUCUUCUCCUCCAUGAUGAUCAGCUUCUUCUCGUACAAGAGAGCAUCGAUCAACUUAUGUUGGAUGAGCACGGUCUUCACCCUUGCUUGCUGUAAGGAGAAAUUACUCUUUCUAUCGAAUCGGUUGAUCUCCACCUUGAUUGUGCUUGUCUUCUCCAUCUCUAAUCUCGAUUAAUACCAUCACUAUCUGGAUCAUCUGGUACUACUUAUCCAUGGUAACCAGGCUUUGAUACCAAUUAUUGUGCUCUAAUAUCACUUAUUUAGGAAGAAAAAAAGAAGAAAGAGAUAGAAAAAUACCAUAAAUAAAUCAAGAUAA